GACGAACGCUGGCGGCGUGCCUAAUACAUGCAAGUCGAACGCUUCUUUCCUCCCGAGUGCUUGCACUCAAUUGGAAAGAGGAGUGGCGGACGGGUGAGUAACACGUGGGUAACCUACCCAUCAGAGGGGGAUAACACUUGGGAACAGGUGCUAAUACCGCAUAACAGUUUAUGCCGCAUGGCAUAAGAGUGAAAGGCGCUUUCGGGUGUCGCUGAUGGAUGGACCCGCGGUGCAUUAGCUAGUUGGUGAGGUAACGGCUCACCAAGGCCACGAUGCAUAGCCGACCUGAGAGGGUGAUCGGCCACACUGGGACUGAGACACGGCCCAGACUCCUACGGGAGGCAGCAGUAGGGAAUCUUCGGCAAAGGACGAAAGUCUGACCGAGCAGCGCCGCGUGAGUGAAGAAGGUUUUCGGAUCGUAAAACUCUGUUGUUAGAGAAGAACAAGGACGUUAGUAACUGAACGUCCCCUGACGGUAUCUAACCAGAAAGCCACGGCUAACUACGUG
rnacentral:rRNA from 1 species